GCCGAGGUGGCGGAAUCGGUAGACGCAGCGGAUUCAAAAUCCGCCGCCGCAAGGUGUAAGGGUUCGAGUCCCUUCCUCGGCACCA
rnacentral:tRNA from 3 species